rnacentral:rRNA from 1 species
GCCUAACGGCUGAACCAGCAACUUGCAGGAAUGAGAGUUAAUAUAAUAAGUUAUUAACUUGCUUGACUAGGUCUUAUAAAGUUCUGGAUAAAGCUUAUUAUGAAAACUUUAUAUCCAUAGGUCUCGACCAAAUCUUGUGCCAGCAGUCGCGGUAAGACAAGGGAGACGAGUGUUAUUCAUCUUUAACAGGUAUAUAGGGUACCUAGACGGUGUGCAAUGGCUUAAAUAAGUACCUGGUACACUUGAGUUUGAUAUGUGAGAGGAAUAUGUCGGAAUUGUUGGAGGAAAGAUGAAAUUUGUUAAUACCAAUAGGACUGAUAACGGCGAAGGCAAACCUCUAUGUACAUGUACUUGCUAUUUCUGUUGGUUUAUUUGCGCACUUUUUUUUUCAUUUAUAUUAUAAAUGAAAAAAAAAGAGUGAGAAAAAAAACGAAAUGAAUUAAGGAUAAACUAAAACAAAAAACAGAAAUUUCUCUUGUAAAAAAUUUCAGAUAGAUAUAGAGGAAAAGAGCAAUGUACUAUAACUGACGUUGAGGGACAAAGGCUCAAAAAGUGAAGAGGAUUAGAUACCCCCGUAACCUGGGCAGACAAUGAUGAGUGCCAUAGGUUGGCUUUAAGGCGGAACUAUAAAUGAAAGUGGAAGCACUCCACCUCAAGAGUAAUGUGGCAACGCAGGAACUGAAAUCAUUUAAACCGUUUUUGAAACCAGUAGUGAAGU